UACGAAGGUCCCAAGCGUUAUCCGGAUUUAUUGGGUUUAAAGGGUGCGUAGGCGGCUUAUUAAGUCAGUGGUGAAAGCCCCAAGCUUAACUUGGGAACUGCCAUUGAUACUGAUGAGCUUGAGUAGAUUUGAGGCGGGCGGAAUGUGUCGUGUAGCGGUGAAAUGCUUAGAUAUGACACAGAACACCAAUUGCGUAGGCAGCUCGCUAAACUCUUACUGACGCUGAGGCACGAAAGCAUGGGGAUCAAACAGG
rnacentral:rRNA from 2 species